rfam:Myotis brandtii contig315322, whole genome shotgun sequence.
GGUGCUUCUCGGUGACACACCCUGGAAUUGGGCUCCCUCCUCUCUGGUUCUGGGUGCAUCACCCAAGAACCACA